CGCAGUGCAACAUCUGCCUAAUAACACGCCCAAGCUCGGAGAUCAUCUCCAGCCUUAACAUAAGCAUACGUCCGUGCAAGAACUGCAUCGUCGGCAAGAUACGAGCUUGUGUGCCCAUGCGAGGCAGAUCCAAGAAAUGUGUGCCUCGGCCGAAGGGGACGGCGCCUCAUGCGUCGGCAUGCUGCAAGGUUGACUAUUGCUUGGUUUCGGGCAUCUUAUGACAAUGCAUCGCCCACACCGUGCGUUGACAACCUAUUAGCACGCUCUUGCAUGGGGUUGGGCCCCAACAGCUUUGGUUGGAUCUUCCAUCCAUGUCUCGGCCUCGCCCUCUACGGCCAUCACAGCCGCAUAAAAUUCCGUCAAUUCAUAUUCGGGCCCGCGUCAGUUCCGACUGGGGCUAUUAUAGGCUAC
rnacentral:lncRNA from 1 species